CGGUGCGCGCUCCCACACAGGUACCAACCUGACAUGCGAAACGAGUGUAUUUUUCGCUCCUUUUGGUCACAGCAGCACAUCAUUCUCGACUAUAAAGUAAACAGUUUAUAAGUAUUCAAACGUUUCUACACAUUAAACAGGAGAAACCCGAUGCAAACUUCAGCGAAAAAAUAGUUCCGUGUCUGUGCCGGAAUGUUGGUGGCAAAAGCAGCCUACUCUGCCGGACAAGAACGCUCGUCUGCUUGUCAGCCAUCUUGCUGCCGUGCCGACUGUCAAGUCUUAGGCCUUGCCUUGUGAGAAGGAAUAUAAUUGAAGAAACGGAUAUUACCUCCUUAAAUUUCUACAUCCUACUUCAUAAAACAGUUGCUGUGAUCCUGGCCAAUCCCUUUGAAGUUUUAUUUCUGAUACGUCACCCAGCAAGCAUAACUGCUAUUAAAAUAUGCAGUGCAUGUGCUGGAUUUGAACACAAAGGAACUCCGAACACUUUCCGU